rnacentral:tRNA from 1 species
UGGCUCGUAGCUCAGGGGCAGAGCGUCCGCCUGUUGAGCGGAGAAUCGCAGGUUCGAUCCCUGCCGAGCCAGCCA